rnacentral:lncRNA from 1 species
GAUGGGGCUUAUGGGGCCAUGAUGGGUCAAGAAGGACAUUCACCAACAAGAGCCAGAAGAGCCAGGUGUGUGUAGCGCACUACAUAGGGGUGUUCCAAAAUGGGAAUAAAUUUGAUUUAUCCGAAGACAGAAACAAACCUUUCAAGUUCAAAACUGGUGAACAGGAAGUCAUCAGUGGUUUUGAAGAGUACAUAGCGCAGAUGAGCUUGGGGCAGAAGGUGAAGCUGACCUGCAUAUGUGAUGUGUCAUAUAGAGCUCCAGGCUACUCUAGUAUCAUCCCUCCCAGUGCUAUCCUAUCUUUGACAUGGAAUUGCUCAACUUAGAG